rnacentral:sRNA from 1 species
AAGCAUCUUGCGCUUGUGCCGUCGACAAAAAGGCGUCAGCAACAGACACACACAGGUAAAAGCUGAUAACCAUGCAAACCAUUCCCGUGACGCACAAACUCUCAGUGUGAUGUGCGAAUUUUCCAAGGUCGUGGACGGGAGCAAAAAAAAUGCAAAAAUAUGAAAUAAAAUUACCAAGGUAAAUUUGGAAAAAAUUUAAUAUGCUGCAGUGGUAUACAGAAAUUAGUUCUAACCGCUUCCGAAUCGAGUAGGCCGAACAUACAGCGUGAAACGUCCUGAAAUUUGGGAACUUUGAAAUUUGAUAUGUGAUAUACAAUUUACGCAAUAAUGGAAUAUUUUAACGCAAAUGAUUUCGCCAAGGAUUUAUACUACUAACUACAGAGGGACUUCUUUGAUGGAUUGAAAAUAAAACUACGUGUAUAUACUCAACACUUUCAUUUCUUUUUUAACAGUCUAUAAAAUAUUGUGUAUAUGGCGCAACGGAACACCAAAUGUGUGAACGUUUUUGUUUUAAUAGUUAUUGUAGUAUAUACGAAAUUUAUAUUCGCAUCGUGUAAAUUUGAAAUAUACCAAUAAAAUAAAACAAAGGAUU